GUUCAUGUAGCUUAAUAAACAAAGCAAAGCACUGAAAAUGCUUAGGUGGAUUUUUAACCCCUAAACA
rnacentral:tRNA from 1 species